rnacentral:tRNA from 1 species
GCCUCUGUAGCUCAAGGGUAGAGCGUCUGUUUCGUAAACAGAAGGUUGUCGGUUCGAGUCCGGCCUGAGGCU